rnacentral:rRNA from 1 species
GUAGGGAAUAUUGCGCAAUGGGGGAAACCCUGACGCAGCGACGCCGCGUGAGUGAUGAAGGCCUUCGGGUCGUAAAGCUCUGUUGCAAGGGAAUAAAAAAAUGAAGGUACCCUGUGAGGAAGGAUCGGCUAACUUCGUGCCAGCAGCCGCGGUAAGACGAGGGAUCCUAGCGUUGCUCGGAAUCAUUGGGCGUAAAGAGGGCGUAGGUGGCUUGGUAAGUCAGGUGUGAAAGCCCAGGGCUCAACCCUGGAAGUGCAUUUGAUACUGCUGAGCUUGAGUGUCGGAGAGGUUACCGGAAUACCUGGUGUAGUGGUGAAAUACGUAGAUAUCAGGUGGAACACCGGAGGCGAAGGCGGGUAACUGGACGAACACUGACACUGAGGCCCGAAAGCGUGGGGAUCAAACAGGAUUAGAUACCCGAGUAGUCC